rnacentral:tmRNA from 1 species
GGGGGCGUAAAGGUUUCGACGGGGAUUUUGAAGUAUGAUAAGCGGGCAGAGUGCCGAACCUCUUUAACUCGGCAAAACGUUUAAAUAUAAACGCUAACGAAGAAAAUUAUUUGAUGGCUGCUUAAUCAGCCUCCGUCUGACCUGAAAGUACCACGGUUCGGGAUUCAGGCGUCGAUUAGUGGUGAACGUUCUUUGAGGCUCGUCCCUCCUCUCUGAAUGUAUUCGGGACUACCAGACACUUCAGCCUGACUGCCGGCGGCUGUGCGAGGGAUUCUUAAUAGACAGUAUACGCUCGUAGAAAUUUGUAUGAAUGAGUUUUCGGACAGGGGUUCAAUUCCCCUCGCCUCCACCA